UACGGAGGGUGCGAGCGUUGUCCGGAAUCAUUGGGCGUAAAGGGCGCGUAGGUGGCCCGGUCAGUUCGUGGUGAAAGCGCGGGGCUCAACCCUGCGUCGGCCAUGAAUACUGCCGCGGCUGGAGCACUGUAGAGGCAGGCGGAAUUCCGGGUGUAGCGGUGAAAUGCGUUGAUAUCCUAAGGAACACCGGUGGCGAAAGCGGCUCACUGGAUCUCUUCUGACGCUGAGGCACGAAAGCUAGGGUAGCGAACGGG
rnacentral:rRNA from 1 species